rnacentral:rRNA from 1 species
GCCAUCGGCGAAAGCAAGUUGAAUGAUAUCACUUCAAUGGAUCACUGAAGUUGAGCAACGUUGCGCGUGGUUAGUGUCUGGAUGGAUGACCAUCUGGCCAUUUACGUGCUGCUGGCU